rnacentral:miRNA from 1 species
CGGGCUUCCAUCUCUUUCCCAGC